CUCCUCCUCCUCCUCCUCCUUCCCCACCUCCUCCUCUUUCUCCCCCGCCUCCUCCUCCACCUCUAUCACCACUCCCUCCGGGGCGCCCAGGUCCCAGCAGAGUCCCCGCCGGGCGCUGCCGCAUCCACCAUCAGCAGCUUCCCCUCCCAACCCGAACCAGCUGCCGCGGGGGCAGGUCCUUCAAUCUCCACGGCCUGCGCUGAUGCCGGGAGAACUCGCGCGGAAGAAGAUGCUUCGGGAACAGAAAGCCUCCAACUCUUCCGGCUCCGCGGAAUUUCCUAGGCCGGGAUGGUCCGCCGGUGGCUGCCCCUUUAGAAGAGCAGGUAAAAGAGUGAAGGCAGAACAUUCACUUCCAUGAUCCAGAACUAGGAGCUCCACCUUUCUACCCUCACAGCUGGCCAGAUGAGAAAGAAAAGAUGUCAUGCUCCAUGGAGAAGGUUGGAAGGAUGUGUUUGAAAACCAACUAAUGCUCCUUGGAUGUUCUAAUGGGUGUGCCCAGGUCUGGGAUAGUACCAGGAAACAAUGGAAGAAAGAUAAAAUUCUCGGCACCACAACUUGCAUUAACAAUAUCUCCCUUGAAUUAAAAACAUGUUUCUCAAGGUAACUGAUUUAAUCUGGCAUGAAGCAGGAAGUUUUGCAGACUAUAUAGAAGCUCCCCUGUAUAACUGGAAAGACAGAGUUGUUAAUCGAUUUACAAGUUUGAGAAAAGAUGGAGGUGGGGGGAAAGAAGCAAGUUGAAUGAAAUAGUAAUGUGACAAAAUUCUGGGGGUUACCUCUUCCAAAACUGUCAGAUUCUAGGAUGGAUAUAUUGUUCAGAAAAUUAAAAAAGCAAACAUUUUGAGAUCCCUUUC